rnacentral:rRNA from 1 species
GACAGAGGUGCCGAGCGUUAGGCGGAAUCACUGGGCUUAAAGCGUGUGUAGGCGGAUCGUUAAGUACCUUGUGAAAUCCCACGGCUUAACCGUGGAACUGCUGGGUAUACUGGCGAUCUUGAGGUGCUCAGGGGCGAGCGGAACAGAUGGUGGAGCGGUGAAAUGCGUAGAUAUCAUCUGGAACGCCUGCGGUGAAAACGGCUCGCUGGGAGCAAUCUGACGCUGGAGACACGAAAGCCAGGGGGAGCGAACGGGG